rnacentral:rRNA from 1 species
UACGGGGGGGGGCAAGCGUUGUUCGGAAUUACUGGGCGUAAAGGGCUCGUAGGCGGCCAACUAAGUCGGACGUGAAAUCCCCAGGCUCAACCUGGGAACUGCGUCCGAUACUGGAUGGCUUGAAUUCGGGAGAGGGAUGCAGAAUUCCAGGUGUAGCGGUGAAAUGCGUAGAUAUCUGGAGGAAUACCGGUGGCGAAGGCGGCAUCCUGGACCGACAUUGACGCUGAUGAGCGAAAGCCAGGGGAGCAAACGGG